UACGUAGGGGGCGAGCGUUGUCCGGAAUCAUUGGGCGUAAAGCGCGUGUAGGCGGCCCGGUAAGUCCGCUGUGAAAGUCCAGGGCUCAACCCUGGGAUGCCGGUGGAUACUGCCGGGCUCGAGUCCGGAAGAGGCGAGUGGAAUUCCCGGUGUAGCGGUGAAAUGCGCAGAUAUCGGGAGGAACACCAAUGGCGAAGGCAGCUCGCUGGGACGUGACUGACGCUGAGACGCGAAAGCGUGGGGAGCAAACAGG
rnacentral:rRNA from 1 species